rnacentral:lncRNA from 1 species
CGGGUCCCCGAGGGUCCCCAGACCCGUGGGCAGGGACCCGCAUUCACGCACAGUGUGAGGCCUGGCACGUGCGUCCCACGAGGACCCUUGUCUGUGUGAGGGUCACGCACCCAGGGCUGGCCUUUCUCUCGGGCCGAGCACAUGGCCAUGGAAAAAGCUGGGGAAACGGGGUCAGGGUGGGCGCAGCGCCGUGAGCCCACGUGCCUGGCAGAGCUGAGUGUUUCUCCCGUGUUUCCCUCUUUAACCCUCAGGAGGACAAACGUGGGAUCGGAGGCCUAGAGAGGGCCCGCCACUUGCCCAAGGUUGCACAGCCUGUCCGUGGUGGAGCCAGCUUCCAUAUCCAUGCCUGCCUGACUCUAGAAACUUUCAGGUGGGGCGGCGAGGCCGGAGAGCUGCUGCAGCGGUCACAGAGCACAGAAGAGGCCCGCGCACCCUACAGCCCAGGGCUGGGCUGUUCUUGGAGCUGCUCACCAGAUCUCUUGUUCCCACCCACCCACCACCUGCUUUGGCUGGAUAAUCAUCAUUUUUUAAAAUUUAUUUUUAUUUGUAUGUUUUAUCUUUUUAGGGCUGCACCCUCUUGGCGUAUGAAAGUUCCCAGGGUCGGGGGCCAGUCAGAGCUGUAGCCGCGGGCCUACACCACAGCCACAGCCACACGGGAUUAGAGCCGCGUCUGCAAUCUACGCCACAGCUCACGGCAACCCACGGAGCGAGGCCAGGGACCGAACCUUCAUCCUCGGGGAUGCUAGUCAGGUUCGUUUCCGCUGAGCCACGACGGGAACUCCUGGACAAGCAUGAUAAACAUGUGCAGAGCAGCUGCUCUGUGCCAGCCCUGGGUAAGUGCUUUGCAUGUGGUACCUCACCUGAUCCUCACCAGCGCUCUAGGAGGCAGGUGCUCUUACUACGCUAUUGUUAUUAUUCUAUCUGUCUAUAAUAUUUAUGUCAUAAUGUAGAAUUAUUAUUCUAAUAUUAGACAUGAGGACACUGAGGCAACGGUGUGUUUGUUAGGUAACUUGCCCAAAAUCUUAGGCUGAAAAUGGCAGAGUGGGCAUCUGAGCCCAUGCAGUCUGGCUCCAGAAUCCCAGUGCCCAAGCCCUACACACGUGCUGCUCCAGCCUAGUGCGUGAGACCCCAGCCUCACCCUCUUUCUGCUGCGUGGUGACCAACUCUGUCCUGCAUGCAGGCUCCUGGGAGUUGAGGGCUGGGUGGACUAGGCCCCCAUCUCACAGAUGGGGAAACUGAGUCUGAACUGGUGUAGUGCCGGGCCUGAAAAGUUGCCCUCAGAUGCCAGGUGUAGUCCUAGCGCUGCCCGCUGCUAGCUUGCUAUGGGAUUUGAGGCAAGUGCCUGCUCUCUCUGAGCCUCAGUUUCUGCCCCGCCCCCAGAGAGCAGGUAGGAAGGGCUGUCCCGAAGUUUGCUGGCAGGGAGUCCUGGGAGGAGGCGGGACAGGCCUGGCAGCAGGUGCCGAGGGGGCAGGCAGGUGAAGGUGAGCCUGGGCCAGGGCUGAAGUCGAGGCUCGGAGCCGGUUUUCCCAGGCUGUGUCUGAGUAAUCCUGUGUCUAUAUUUAUCACUUCCUUUCUUGGGUGAGCAAACAGAGCCUGAUGCCAGCCUGGGCUGCCACCCCUCCCGCCCCCCCGUGCCGGCACGUUUCCCUCACCUGCCAGGUGGCCGUGGGGAGUACCGCAGUCUUGGCCCUGAGCUCAGCUUGGCCCACAUAGGACACACAAGGAUGCUUGAACCCAGUGGCUUCCGUGACAAAUCUAAUUGUCAGUGGUGGCCUGGGAACCUCCACAGGGGCCACUGCACAUGCGGGCAGCUGUGACCAUGGCCUGGGCCAUGGCGGGUCAUUGGUCACAGGGGCAAUGGGCACCAGGCAAUGGCAGUGCAGGGGGGCUUGGGAAAGCCCUACUCUGCUCAGCAACAGUGACUUUCAUUCCUCCGUUCACGCUUUAGUCUAAAUGGCAGCUCCCUGUCCCUCUAGGACCUGAAAUGCCUCGAUGAGGAAGUCUGAGUGGUACAGACGCCUGGAGUCAGAGUCCUCUGGGGUUGAAUCCUGCCACCCUGGCCGUGGGCAAUUAACGUCUCUGUGACUCGGUUUCCAUGCCUGUCAGGUGGGGCCAGUAGUUCCCACACUCCCCAGGGAUUAUUGUCAGAGGUGUUAAGAGCCGACAGAUGGAAUGGGCUCUGCUGGGGUGGGGCUGCCUGUCCCCCCCACCUGCUUCCACUCUCCCAGGCCCAGACCCACAGCAGUGACAGCUGGUCGCAAAAGACCCGAAGGGGACCUAUGUGUGUCCUUGACUCUCCUACCAUAUGCCCUUGGUGAUGGACACCCGACUCGGAGAGGAGCGUGCAGCCUUAGACUCAGGAUGGAUUAGGUGAGCUGGGGCUUGGGCCCUGGGGAGACCCAGAAGGGACCCAUUACUCCCUUUUCUCCAGCCUUCCCAGGGGUGAGUGGGGAGGACAAGUGGCCAGUCAGGCCAAAGGGGUGAUGGGAACGUAAGAACAUCUUUCUCGUUCAUGAAGGGCCACCACUCCAAAGUCUAUGAAUAAUAAAUGAUGGAGAGGGCGUGGAGAAAAAAGAACCCUCCUGUACUGAUGGUGGGAAUGUAAACUGGUGCAGCCACUGUGGGGAAUGGAGUGGAAGUUCCUUAGAAAACUAAAAUGUAGAGAUGCCGUAUGAUCUAGCAAUCCCACUCUGGAGAAAACCCUAAUUCAAAAAGAUGCAUGCACCCCAAUGUUCAUAGCAACCCCCUUUACAAUAGUUAAGACAUGGAAGCAAUUGUUCAUCAGGAGAUGACUGGAUAAAGGUGAUGCAGUUUAUAUGUACACAAUGGAAUACUACUCAGCCACGAAAAAGAAUGAAAUAAUGACAUUUGCAGCAAGAGGAAGGACCUAGAGAUUAUCACACUAAGUGAAGUCAGACAGAGAAAGACAAAUGGCAUAUGAGAUCACUCAUACGUGGAAUCUAAAACAAUGAUAGAGGGAUUUCCCUGCUGGCCUGGUACUUAGGACUCGGCACUUUCUCUCAUUGAACUUGCGCCCAGGUUCAAUCCCCAGUCGGAAAACUGAGAUCCCACAUCAAGCCACUGCUCACAGGGGUCAAAGAAAAAAAAGAUACAAAUGAACUUAUUUACAAAACAGAAAUAGACUCACAGACACAGACAAUAAACUUACAGUUCUGGAGGGGGUAGUGGGGAGGGGGAAGAUAAAUUAGGAGUUUGGGAUUAACAUAAAAACACUACUGUACAUAAAAUAGGUAAACAACAAGGACCUACUGUGUAGCAGAGGGAGCUAUGCACAAUAUCUUGUGUAACCUACAAU